CAGCCCACCUCUCCCUGAAAGUAAAUGGAAAAACACAAUCCCGUUUUAUUGGCUAGAGAGGAGACAAAUGCGCAACUUGGAUGAAUGCACUUAUCAUGGUCGCCAAUCUCCAACGCGUAAAAGGAACUAUUUUCUCAAUCUCGUUGUGUUUUAUUGCCACUGUAGUGGUCGCGCAGUAUGACACCUACAACUUUAGACAUUUCCCACAAGAGGAGCUCAUGCCAAUCGAGUCUGCGUAUGCACAAGGCUUGGACAAUUAUGCCUCAGAAAAUUGGACGGACUGUAUCAAAUUCAUUGAAUUAAGUUUACGCCUGCAUCGGCUUCUGAAAGACAGCGUGACAUACUGCAUACAAAACUGUAAUGCCAGUCAUGUACAGUUACAGGAGCCUGUCAUGGCCAGCAGCACCGGGGAUAUGCAGAUCUUCUGGCGCAUUUUAAUGCGAGCAUCAUGCCUGAAAAAGUGCAGGACGCACUUCCCUGCGCUCUCGCUCCCUUACCCUAGAAAAGAGAUUAUGGAUGAUUUCGAUAAUAGGUCGCCCUACCGUUACAUGUACUUUGCUCAUGUCCAGAUGGAUGACCCCCAGAAGGCGUUGGCGUCAGCCCACACCUAUCUACAGAGAAACCCAGAGGACCCGGUCAUGACACAGCACAUGAACCAAUACAAAAGAGAGUUUGACUUGGAGGGCUAUCUCAUUGACCACGAGGAAUGCCCCUAUGAGGUCAGCUUCCUGAAAGCAGUCACCUUGUUCAACUCUGAGGACUUCAGCAGCAGUAUCAGUCACAUGGAGCAGGCCCUCAGCCAGUACCUCCAGCAGUACAGCCUGUGUCAGGCCAUGUGCCAGGGGGCCUGCGACGCCGACCUCCCCCAAACUAAAGACCUGUACCCCACACUGGCAGAUGCCUAUGUUGAUGCACUGAGAUGCGAGGUGAAGUGUGAGGAAAACCUAAUGCCAAAUGUUGGUGGCUACUUUGUGGAGAAAUUCAUCGCCACUAUGUAUCACUACCUGCAAUUUGCUUAUUAUAAGUUAAAUGAUGCCCGCAGUGCGGCCCCCUGUGCGUCCAGCUACGUGCUCUUUGACCCUGAGGACAAGGUCAUGAGGCAGAAUAUGUUAUACUACCAGUCUUACAGAGAGCAGUGGGGCCUGGAUGACCACAGCUUCACACCCAGAGUGGUGAGAGAAUGGCUCUAUUCAUCUUUUCAACAUUCCUCACAUCGCCUCUUUCUUUAAACCCAUUGGAAAAGGAAGUCGGAAGGGAGCGACAAAGGACCUACUCCAAUAUGGCUGAAAAGGAGGCGAGGAGAUAGAUUACGAGGAAUCACUGGAAAGACCAAUUGAAAUAGACAGCCAAUGCAUCCUUCCUGUUAGACUUCAUUGAGGAAGCAUUGAGGUACUACAACCAUACCACCUUGCUGAAACAGAUGCUGGCAUUUGCAGAGAACUACUUGCAGUCUGAUGAGGACUUUUUGGGUCCAGAAGAAGCUGCCACGGAGGAGGACUCUGAUGUUGAGUUUGAAGGGCUUGGAGACUAUCAGGAAUCCAUCCUGGCUAGAUGGUCACAACCCAAAGCUAAAGGGGACACUGGUGACUCCUAGGGGUUUGUUCUUGACUCAUGAUGAAUAAAACAGAAAGACAA